UGGCUUCUACAUGGAGACGACUGUUAUUACUACUCAGAAGAUGUAAGAGACAGAACAUGGGACCAGAGCCGGGAUCAGUGUGAGAAGAUGGGAGCUGAUCUACUGGUCAUAAAGAACCAGGAACAGCAGGAGUUUAUACGGAGAGAUCUCAGACAGCGGAUAGAGGACACAUACUGGAUAGGACUUCACCGUGAUGGAGACGGCUGGAGAUGGGUGGAUGGAGAACAUUAUAACAGCAGCUUGAUCCAGAUAAAGACACAACCAUCAGGACGCUGUGUAUCAAUGACUAAAUCUGGUUACUAUCAGGAGGACUGCAG